AGUGAACGCUGGCGGUAGGCCUAACACAUGCAAGUCGAACGGCAGCACAGUAAGAGCUUGCUCUUACGGGUGGCGAGUGGCGGACGGGUGAGGAAUACAUCGGAAUCUACUUUUUCGUGGGGGAUAACGUAGGGAAACUUACGCUAAUACCGCAUACGACCUACGGGUGAAAGCAGGGGAUCUUCGGACCUUGCGCGAUUGAAUGAGUCGAUGUCGGAUUAGCUAGUUGGCGGGGUAAAGGCGCACCAAGGCGACGAUCCGUAGCGGGUCUGAGAGGCUGAUCAGCCACACUGGAACUGAGACACGGUCCCGACUCCUACGGGAGGCAGCAGUGGGGAAUAUUGGACAAGGGGCGCAAGCCUGAUCCAGCCAUACCGAGUGGGUGAAGAAGGCCUUCGGGUUGUAAAGCCCUUUUGUUGGGAAAGAAAAGCAGCAGGUUAAUACCCCGCUGUUCUGACGGUACCCAAAGAAUAAGCACCGGCUAACUUCGUG
rnacentral:rRNA from 1 species